rnacentral:lncRNA from 1 species
UUUGAAGGCUUACCUCAGCUCACACUGUCAACUAGAGCACCUACACACAACCUUUUCCUGCUUGGGCUUCUCAAGGCAUGGUGACUGAGCUCCAAAAGGAAGCAUCCAAGAGGGAAAUUCCAGGGAGAGAAUGGAAGCUGGAAGAAACAGCAGGAAGCUUCAUGGUCUUUGGUGACCUCACCUCCGAAGUCACAAAGCAUUAUUUCUACCAUAAUUCGUUGUUCAAAACAUUCACUCCAAUUCAAGAGAAGAGGACAUAGACCAUUACUCAGUGGAUAAAUGAUAGAGAAAACAUCCUUGUUUAUUUUAUCAAGUUCAUCAGCUUCUAAGAUUGUGUUACAGAAUGACAACAAAGCUGUCACUAAGAAAAUAAUCCUAGCCAAUUUACUUCAGAUGAUUCAACCUACAGUGUUGUCUUCUCCAAGGGAGUGAAAUGGUACCACCAUGGGAGCCGAAGCAGCAGUUUUACACGGAAGGAGGACAAUUAUUUCAGUGGUGAAGUAAACCUGCUUAGAAGGCUCAGCAAGCAUUUUACAGCUUCCCUUUAUCACAGGAUACUGAUAAAAGAUAAGCUGAAACUGCCUUUCAAAUUAGCAAAUAGCACAGAACAUUUAAGUAUGCACUUGGUGGAGAAUGCUCAGAGAUUCUUCCGGGACACCAGACACAAAUUACUGGCUUUAAGUCACACACUUUGUAUGGAUAGGAAAAGUAACUUCCUAAGUUUCCAUGGGGAAAAAUAAAAGGAUCACAGUUUGAUAUGGAAACAUGACACCUAUGGCUGUAAAUUGAUGUCAUUGACAAUGAAUAAUCAGAAUAACAUACAGAAUGGUUUGCGUCAAGACCAGCCAUCCAAACAUAUUCCUAAAGUGAUUGUAUCAGUUUACUAGAGCUGCCAUAAUGAAUUGCCACAAACUCGGUGGCUUGGAACAACAGAAAUGUAUUCGCUUGCCAUUCUGGAGUCCAUAAAUACGAAAUCAAGAUGUCAACAGGGUUGGUUCCUACUGGAGACUCUGAAGAAUUUGUUUCCUGCUUCUCUCCUCACUUCUGAUGGUCGCUGGCAAUCCUUGGUGCACGUUGGCUUGAGCAGUACUCAGUGGCAGUGCCCAGCAGAUUUUGUUCCACGGCAUAACUCAGGCAUUAUUCCUGGCUGUAGAAGCUCCCAGUUUGAUUCUCC